UUGACGUCAGUUCAGUGUCGGCCCUGGCCACAAGCAGAAGAAGCAUGGGCUUCCAGCUGACAUGAUAAUAAGUAUUUUCGCGGCCACAUAUUUAUAAAAAGUGACUUUAGCCUAGUGGUUCUAAGAGAAAUUAUCAGUGCUAUAGGUGCUGGGUUCAAUUACCUUUAACUGCAUUUAUUUAUUUUGGCCCUAAAUAUAAAAUGGAACACAUGUCACUCCCAAAACACACGAAUUGAUGACGUGGCUUCACGGGAGAGAGGCGAACAUUUCUUUAUAUAUAUAGAUAUAGGUACUAAAUUCAAAUAUUUUGUUAGUUUAGGUAUCAUAUCGAUGCACAGACAAAUAGUUUAGGUAUCGAUUAGACAAUAUGACCUUAGUUCGGAUACUAAUCGGCCGUUUUAUUUUUUGAUAAAAUAUCAAAUUGAUUAUAAGAAUGAAAGAAUAUGGUCAUUUACAUAUGUAUAAAAGAUAAGAUAUAUAGCAACAAAGAGUAAAAGGUCAUUAAAGGACCAAAGGCCACUGUCCAAACUCAAUCAUAGAUGGCGAACCAACGCCGUAAGAGACCCUCGUACUUGUGUGCGGCUCCAUAUUUGAACGCAAGAAUGCAGUUACGGUUGGUUCGGUCAAUAUGUCGACACAUCUGCUAUGUUCUCAUCCAACUAGUUCGAUGUCGGCGAGCAUUUCUCUGCCUCUAGAUUAGAUACACUGUCACUUGGAACGCUAGACAGAUCAAAACGUAGUCCAUAGCUGAGAAGCACCCAUUCGUUUGGAGAAAAUGAUGCUUUGACAAAGAAAAUAAAAGGUGUUUUCAAAGUGUUUGGGGAUUAUUUUUUUUUGCGUGGAGAUUCUAAUUCUUCGGAUACCAAAAUAAAAUUAGUGAAAUGCAGCUUAUGCUUUGUCAUUUUCCUUUGAUUGCAUUUUUAUAAUAGUACGUCAGAUUAGUAAACUAAUUACAAAUAAAUUGAAAGAUACCAUUUGUAUUAUUAUGAUUAAAUCCAUUGUUGAUUUGCUUCCACUGCAUGCGAUUUUAUCGAUAUAUAGAAUAUUGGUCUAUUGCUAUGUAGUUGGUCGUUGGGCCAAAUUACUGUCAUCACAAUUGUCAAUAUUUAAACAAAGUCACUUUAAUCGAGGGGUCCUAAAUUAUUGGAGUUGUGUAAACGGUAUAUGGCUCCGAAUGGUGACAGCAGAUUGAUAAUAAAAGCGGGACGGAAUUAGAGUGCGGGAUGGUGUAACUGCGGUUCGUGCAGAAUUAUAGUGCGGUACGGGACAACUGCGGUUUUAAGUAAAAAAACUGUGUUUGAUUGGUGACAAUGCAUAUUUACGGUAUUGAAUGAUUAUUCAAUAAUUAAAUUUGAUUACUAAAAUACUUUUGAAAUAAAAAUACAAAAAAGAGAAAUAUUAAUUCUUUAUAAAACAAAUCAUAUAUCAUGCAGUAAAAUAUAUUUUCUAAUAAUUUUAUACUUCAUUUCAGAUAAUAUGAUGUUAUAAUUGAGUAUUUUUUAUUUCAGUUUAUAUACUAAGGUUAACAUGUUUACAAAAUAAAUAUAUGAAGAACCUAUGCACAGUUACAAAAAAAGAACCUAUACUCAUAAUUGUGUAUUUACGUGCCUUUAUAAUUAUAGUAUAUACUAUCAUAUAUGCUGUUAAAAUAAUUUACAUAUAUAAAUGUGUGCGGUUUUUGAGAAAACACUUUUUCAGUGCGUUCGCGGAUUUGGUAGUAAUACUGUUUAUUUGUAAGACAUCGAAAUUUUUGUGUGUGUUUUGUGAAGUUUUUGGAAAACCGCAAAAGAAAAAUUAGGAAAUAUGUGAUUGGUGACAUUAAAGCGUUUUUUCGAAAACCACAGUGAAAUACGCAAAUUAAAUGUUGCCAUUCAUAACCUAUAUCUUUUUGUGUUAGCGGUUGUUGGAGCAUCGAUCAUUUGUUUAGAAAUUCUAAUUCUGCUACCUAAUUUAACUAGUGAUUGGAAUGAGCUUUAACUUUACCUUUUUGGUUGUAGAAUUUUUUUUUUAUAACCGGUUUAUAUGUUUUUGUAGUGUUUGUUGGAGCAUCGAUCAUUUGUUUAGAGAUUCUAUUUCUACUAUCUAACCUAGCUAGUGAAAAUGAGCUUUAAUUUUACGUUUUUGGUUUUAGAAUUUAAGUUGAAGAUUUAUUUAUUGUAAAAAAUAUUUCACUGUAACUUUGUAAGACACUAUUUUUUCUCUAGAAAUAAAAUUCUCUACAUCAAUUUUAAUUAUCUAGAGAAUUUUAAACAGUAGUUUUUUAAAGAAAAAUUUAAUUGGUAAACAUAUAUAGUAAUAGACUAAAUAUUUGUUGUCUAAAGUAUCUACACCUAUAUAUGACCAGUGGGAAUUUGCACACAAUAGCCAUAAAAAAACAUUAAUUCACCAAGUAACCAUUAGAAAGUCAUGGUUAGAAUAUAACUUAUACAUUAUAUAUUAAUUGUCAUUUCAUCCCUUUAUCUAGGAUUGUCUAGACUUAUUUUUUUAUUACUUUUUUUCUUUUUUUUGGUUACAAUCAUGUUUCCCUUUCUAUUUUUAAUAGCUAUUAGUUUUGUUUAAUAUAAAUAUUCAGUUUUAUAUUUUACAUAAUAAAAACAUAGAUUUUUCUACAUAAUAUGUUUUGAAAAUUUUUUUAAAAAAUAUUUCUAUAAAUUUAAUCUAUAUUACAUAAACUAAGUUUUAAAUCUAUACUAUAUUUUACAUUUAUAUAGUAUAGUUCUAUUUCUUAUUCAUAUAUUGUAAUUUUGUUGUGUUCUAUAUUAUUUAGGAAAUAUAUAAUAGAGUCAAUUAGUUAAAAAAACCACAAAGAAAUUUGAAAUUAGAUAAAUACACAUGAUUUGACAAGUUUGGUGUCUAUCAAUAAAGACACCAUGAUAUGGAAUAGGAUAGUGACUUAAUUAGAAAAAAACUUGUGUAUAUAGGAUGCAAUCUCACUAUAUAAUAUAACCAUAACUUUACAACACAUAUCUUUCUCACCUUCCCUCUCUCUCCCUCUCCCUCUCCCUCUCCCUCUCCCUCUCCCUCUCCCUCUCCCUCGUUUGAUUUGUUGUCUUUUAUUAUAUAGAUUGUUCUAUUUGCAAAUAAGAAAACAUAAUAGUAUUAUGUACCCUGUUAUUGAUAAAGCCAGCGCAUGUUUCAUAUGUUGACUCGCGGUGAAUGAGAAAAAUGUCUACUCAUAAGCAAACCUGUCACAUCAAAUGCUUAUGGUUAUUUUCUUAAUUUUGUUUCUUCCUAUGGCUAGUACUCCAAUUAACCCAUAAUAGACCAAUCACCUCCUAAAUAAAAACUGUAACGUUUGGAUAUAAAAUACCAUUUUUAAUAAUGUUAAUUUGAAAUGAAACUGCACUAAUUUCUUCAUACAAAUGUUAUGUCAUUCAUUACUUCAAACAUGCAACUAAGCUUCUUACGAAAUUAAAUACAAUAUAUAGUUAGUUAUGACUUUUGCUUUCAUGAAUAAUAGUUUUACCACUUUUGAUUUCCUUUGUUUGUUUGAUAGGAUACCAUUGUAUUGUUGUUAUAGAAAUUUUACAGUUACCAUAAGAAAAUAAUGCACUAGUCAAAAAAUAAUAUAUACAGUAAUUUUUUUAUAAAUUAAUACUCAAUAAAUUAGUAAAUUUCAUCGCUUCUGAAAUGAACCAGUUCAGAAAUGAUACAAAUCGCUAAGAUACUAAGAUAACAAUUUUUAGAUAAAAUCCUAUAUAUACACAUAAUUUCAUUAAAUCAUAAAUUAAUAAUAUAUAUAUAUAUAUAAACAAUAUAAAUACAAAUUAAACAUUUUAUUUGUUUGUUUUAUAUUUACAACUGAAUUAUCUCUAUAUUUUACUAAUACUUUAAUAUAUUUAAUAAUAUUUGGUAAAGUCCAAGGCUACCUUAAAGAAUUUGUCAAUGGAUGGACAUUUUGGGCCUUAGAAAAAAGGAGCCCAUAAAAAGAGUUUUAAUUUUUUUUUUUGUCAUCAACAUAUACAAACUCAUAUUGACUGUGUAAACCAAACGGGUGAUUCCACAUCCAUGUGAACGACGUAAGACAGUUGACUCCUGACACUGCGUGCUAGGCUCUCCGCCUUUGAAUUUUGCGUUUGUGGUACAUGAAUGAUCAUUGAGCUGGGGAAGCUUUUUUUCAGGAUCUUGAUAUCAUCUAAAUAACUUGCAAAAGCUGGCAAUUAUUCUGGUUCUGAAACCAUCUUCACCAAUUGAGAAUAAUCCGUUGCAAAUGUAACCUGAAACUGACGUAAGUUCAUCAUACAUUUCAUUGCUCAUAUUAGCGCUUCCACCUCCGUGUGAAGCGGAGAGAGACUACCCCUGACAUUUUUUGCCCCCAUCAAACCAUCAAAACCUUCUAGAGUACUAUACCAACCUUGUCCGGAGAAAAUGUCAUUUUCUUUCCAAGAACCGUCUGUAAAAUACCAGCAUCCUGGGAUUAACGGUAGGGUCGUAACCUCUGCAGAUUGUACUGCCCUCUAGGUGUUCAUCACAUGUGCCUCCGCCUAAAGUGUUGAUUUGGUUUCCCCCAAUUUGAAUGUUUCCGUGGGAUCCAUGUCCAAAUUGCUAAAUACUUUAUUAUUUCUUCCUUUUCAAAUGUACCAUAGUAUCUAUGCAAACUGAUGAUCAUCCAUUUGCGAAAGAACUCUCCAGAAAAAGUGAUCCAUAUUUGUAAAUAUGGAACUAGUUGGAAAAAUAGUUGGGUUUGAUGAGAUCUUUGAUAACGCCAAACCUGAAGUGCUGGAGGGCAUUCAAAGAACAAUUCAUGAUUUAUCGACUCGUCUGAAGCUCCACAACGGGCACAACAUAUGUCCCCUUCUAUUUCCCUUGUGCGCAGAUUCUUCCUAACUGAUAUGGAUCAUGACACCAAUUGCCAUAAAAAGAGUUUUACUUAGUUUUGUUGAAGUAGAGACAAUAUUUUUGAGUAAGGUUUAAUGGUCUUUUUAAAACUUGUUUCUUACAAAACCUUUCUCUAAAUUAGCAAUUCACCAUGGCCAAUAUUUCGUUUUUAGAUUAUUGAUCUAUGAUCUUUAUAUAUUGUUAUUAUUCUAUAUUUUUGUGUUCACACAAUUUUUUUCUGGAAAACUACGAAAAAUCACUUUAGUUAUGAUACAAUUUAUAUUUUGUCUCUAUAAGUGUUUCUCCACAUCAAACGUUCCUAUAUAUUGUUUUAAUCAUUGACGUAUUGUAUAUGAUUUAGUGUACAGUGAAUGGUCUAACUGAAUUUAAACGUUUUUCUAAUUUCAGGUUCACUCACUUCCUUGGAAAUUCAUAUUACAAGGUGAUAUUUUCGGGUUAUUUGAUAUUUAGCUUAAAUUAUGACUGAGAAUUACUUAUUGGGAUAUCAAAAAAGGAAAAGAAAACAAGUUAGCAGAAUUGUUUAUAAAAUCUCAGAAAGGUUCUAUGGAUAAAUUUGUGAUAUGAGAAAAUUCUAAUAAAUAUCAUGAACCUGCUAUUAAGAGGAUAAUAGUACUGAAUCAAAUGAUCAUUUGAGCGGGCAUAAUAAUGUGUUAGACGAAUCUAAUGUUGAAGGCUUGAAUGUUCAUGAACAAAAAAUGGCUCAUUCAUUGAUAUAUAUGAUCCUAGGCAUUGGAACAACCUUGAUAAUAACAUGGAAGAUUUGUUAGUUGAAAAGAGGUUUAAAAAAGCAAUGAAUCUUGUGUUUCCCUUAUAUAAGAGCUCUAGAUGGUUUUCAUAUGCUUAUGAUUCUAAGUUGAGUAAUGGGGAAAUUAGUGAUAAAAUUGGUUGGUUUACUCUAAACAUGAGGACAUAUGUUGCUGUUUUUGUGGCAAGUUUUUUAAAUCUAAUGUUUUCUUAAGUUCGUUAGCUAAUGAUAAAUCAAAAGAAUGGAAGCAUCUCAGUGAGAGGAUUAAAUACCAUGAUAAAAAAAGUAGAUCAUAUGACUAACAUGAAAACUUGGAAUGUAUUAAAAGUUAGAAUGGAGAAAAAUUAAGGAGUGAUAAAGGAUUACGAAAAAAUUACAAAAGCAAAAGAGCGUUGGAGGCUUAUUUUAAUUAGAAUAAUUGUUGAAGUGAAAUUUCUUGCUAAACGGAAUUUCGCAUUUAGAGGAAAAAUGAAAAACUUUAUCAAGAUAACAAUGAUAAUUUCUUAAGCUCUAUUGAGAUGAUUGCAGAACUUGACUUGGUAAUUCAAACUCAUAAUAGACACAUUCAAAGUCUAGAAAUCCAUCAUCAUUAUUUGGGUAAUAAUAUUCUGAAUGAGCUUAUUUCUCUUUUAGCUCAUAAUGUUUAAAUUUCCUUUGUAUAAGUCAUUAAAGAGGAAAUUAUUUUUUUGUCAUUCUUGAUUGUACACCGGAUACCGGAUGCGGGCCACCAAGAACAAAUGACUCUAGUAGUAAUAUGUGAAUCUAUAAAAUAAAAAUAUAAGAGUACAAGAGUAUUUCUUAGAGUUUCAUAUGGUAGAUGACACAUCCAGACUAGGACUGUUUGAAAAUUGUUAGAUUCUCUAAAGUCUCUUACUAUUAAUGUUGGUAAUGUGAGUGAUCAAUGUUAUAAUGGUGGUUCCAAUAUGGAAAGGAAAACAUCUAGGUGUUCAGAAAAUAAUUUUUUGAUAUAAAUCUAAAAGCAUUGUACAUAUUGUGUGAUUGUCAUAGUCUUAAUAUUGUUGUUAGUGAUGUGGCUUAUUCGUGUGUAAAAGCUAUUUCAUUCUUUGGAAAUUUGCAGUGUAUAUGUAUAUGCCUUGUUUAAUUUCUUGUUCUACAAAGAGAUAGAAGAUUUAAUUUGACAAUGUUCUUUUUAGAGUGAAAUCUUUAUACAGUACUCCUAGGAAGAGUCUCAAUCAAAAGUCUCAAUGCAAUUAGAUUUCAAGCUCCACAAGUCAGUUUUAUUUGAACUUACAAGCUAAAUCUGUAUGCAUUGAUAAUGCUUUGAAACAAUUAGAAGGUGUAGUUUAAUUCUGUUUUUGGGGAAGUAUAGACAUGAAGGGUUUACUUUUAGUUUAAGUAUAACUCAAUGUAUUUCUCAUGAUAUGGAUGUUGAUCCUGUAUUUACAUAAAUGUUAAAUCUUUUGAAAAAAAAACAGUUUGACGAAACUCAGUUACAUGAAAAAAAAAUACUAGAGUGUGAAGAUGAUUUUUAGAGUUAAUUAUUUUUAAUUGACAUGGAAAUAAAUUGAGUCAAAAACAUAUUUAAUCAAAUGAUGAAUUUUAAAAGUGUUUUUGGUUUUUUUAUUUGAUUUGAGAACAUUAAAAGCAUUCGAUGAAAGUAAAGUAUGAGAACAUUGUACUAAUUUUCACAAAGGUUUUUUCAUAGUAGUUGAUAUUUCUCAAAUUAACCUAGAGCAACCUAGUUGAUAUUUCUCAAAUUAACCUAGAGCAACCUUCUCUCUCAAAUAAGAUAUCGAAUUGUAGUACUAAAAGAUCAAAUCCACAUGGAGCGUGGUCACACAAUAAACUAUAAAAAUCAAUAUUAAGCUAGGGAAGUAAUUAUCAAAGUAUUAAAUAGCAAUAAAUAAGUAAAUAUUCGGUUGUAAGAUAUUGGGAUGAAAGUUAGACUUCGGAUUUCAGGCAAUCAUAAUUAUCAGUUAUAGAUGCUAAGGGUGUGUGAUGAACCGAUCUAGAACUCUAAUGCAAUAGUAAAAUAUCCAGCUCUUGCUGCGAGUCUAAUCAGAUCUUUAAUCCAAUAUUCUAGCUCUCGCGUAAGAAUGAGGAGCGAUUGUCGAUCGAUACUACAUUGUUUCGAUCGAUACCUAUUUAAACAAGCAUUAAUGCCUAAUCGAUAUGUUGACCUGAUGAUUAAACCAGCUCUCGCAUGCGCCUAAAAACCUAGCUCAGCAGGAUUAUUAUCACGUAAUGAACUCACUUGUGUGGUUGUCUAUAAUCCUAUGUUCAGGGUUCUAGUUAGCUAUUAUAGAACACAAGGAGUUAGAUCAAUUCUAGGAAGGAUCUCAUAAAUUAUCCUACCAGUUCUAUGUAUCAAUAAUUCAUUGAAACCUUAAUAAAACACUAAAUCCAACAUGAUGGUUACUUCGACAUAAAGAAUAAGUGAACGAAAUUGCAUGAAUAGAAUAAAGUAAGAGAUAUCAGAGUUCUUAUACAAAUUUCUGAAUGAGUCUUUGAUCUUCUCUCCAAAAACUACUAAAACUAAAAGCUCUGUGAAUAUGUAUAAGGUGGUUUGUAAGAUGUGUGUUUUGGGUAGACAAUACCAAAAACUAUAAAUAUUAGGUAUAAAGUCUGCCAGGAGCAAUCUUGUAAUAUGUGGAAAUUUUGGGCUUGAGUCGGCUUGAAACAAGUCGGGCCCGUCUACUUGCGCGGAUGUAGAGCGACACCAAGGAAGAGGUGUCGAUCGACACUUUUCUGAAUGUCGGCUCUGUCUUCUAGUUUCUUGAGAAGCUGCAAGUUUUUUCAUCCAUAAGCUCUAAAAUGCUCCAUAAUCUCCACAUUGCUCCAAAACAUAUUUGGAUCUGAAAUACUCUAAAUAGAGACUCUGAAAAUAACUUAUACAAUGGCUAAAUACUGUAAAUCAUUUUUAUUCUGAAUUGAGAAUCUUGUAAAUUACUUUACGUGUUGUGUUUAUAAAAGGGAAAAAUGUUAAACAAAUCCUCAGCUUUUUCAUUUGGACCAUUAUAAUCCCCAGCUUUCGGAAAGACCUGAAAAACAAUAAACUUUUCUUUGACUUUAAAAAAACCAGCUAACUUUUCUUUGACUGGAUCAAAUUAGACCCGACGUUAAUUAGACUAACGGAACAUGUUAACCCUGUUAAUUUGCGCAGUUAGCCAAUACGACAACGUUUUAUCUUAAACUUCAAAAUAAGAUCCGAAACCCUAAUAUCAUUUUCCCCCAAAUCGAUUUGGGGAUUUUCUUGACACACCAACCCUAAAAUUUGCGAUUACAACUCAAAAUCCUCCAAUCCCACACGACUGACUUCCCAUAGCACGAAGAUGAGUUCGGAUUUGACAGCUGAGAGUUCAACCGUGAACACAUACGGUAUUCGCGGGUUUCCGGCGAGCUGUGUUUGCGGGACUAAGACAACAAUCUACACGUCUGAGACUAACAAGAAUCCGGGGAGACCUUUCUUCAGAUGUCUUACGAGAAGAAAGGUAGCUUCUUAUCUUCUUGAUUAUAUUGUUGUCGUUUAUUCAAAUUGAACAUAAAGAAAUAUGCCUAAAAUUUUAUGGUUUUUGCAUAGAACCACUUGUUUAAAUGGGUUGAGGAUGCUGUUUAUGAAGAGGUUCAAGAUGCCUUACCAAAGAUUGUACUGCUUGAAGCUGAGCUUAACAAAGAAAAAUCUGAUAUUGAGGAUUUGAAAGGCGUGGUCACUGAGUUGAUGGAAGAGGUUGUAAGAGCCAAAAAAGAGGUGAAGAGGUGUAAGGUGAUGAUGACGAUCUUGUUUGUGAUCAUGUGCGUGAUCAUCAUUGUCCUACUAGUUAGUUUGAUGUAGAAUUAAGUUAGUUAUUUGCUUGAGGUGAAGAACUAAAUUGUUGGUGUUUGUGUCUUGUUGUAUUUACUUGAUUAAGUGACAAUUUUAAUGUUUGGUCUUGACUAUGUUUGGGGCUUAAUUUAGUGACUAUUAUGUUGGUUUCA